UGGGGGAUAUUGCACAAUGGGCGAAAGCCUGAUGCAGCGACGCCGCGUGGGGGAUGAAGGCCUUCGGGUUGUAAACUUCUUUUGCUCUGAACAAGGCGCACCAUGGGGUGUGUUGAGUGUAGGGGUUGAUUAGCGCCGGCUAACUACGUGCCAGCAGCCGCGGUAAUACGUAGGGCGCGAGCGUUGUCCGGAAUUAUUGGGCGUAAAGGGCUUGCAGGUGGCUGGUUGCGUCUGUCGUGAAAGCUCAUGGCUUAACUGUGGGUUUGCGGUGGGUACGGGCUGGCUUGAGUGCAGUAGGUGAGGCUGGAAUUCCUGGUGUAGCGGUGGAAUGCGCAGAUAUCAGGAGGAAUACCGGUGGCGAAGGCGGGUCUCUGGGCUGUUACUGACACUGAGGAGCGAAAGCAUGGGGAGCGAACAGG
rnacentral:rRNA from 1 species